rnacentral:rRNA from 1 species
UCAUGCUGUUUGUGUUGCCCUGCAAUAAAACGCCCACUGAAGCUAAGCAGGGCUGCGCCCGGUCAGUACCUGAAUGGGAGACCACAUGGGAAAGCUAGGUUGCUGCCGGAA